GUUAAAUGAAUCGUCUACAUGGGAACUUAGAAUCUCAAUAUCUCAUAUUUGCUAUAUGGUAUAAAUAGUAUGUCUAUUAAUUGAUUAGGAAGGCAAAUUUGUCAUCAAUUAUAAGUUUAUAUUUGGAUUCCUAAAAAAAAAAGUUUAUACUUGGGCAAUAUGGAGGCACACUCUAACACCGACAGCUAACGAAAACAGGAGAGUGGUCGUCGGUGCACAAGACAUGACAAUGAACGGCUCCCGACAGCUUUUAGAAGAAUCGAAUCACAUCAGAAUGAGAGAGAUCCUGAGGCCGUGUAGGUAUGAGACUACAUGGUUGAAGGAAGACUUAUAAGAGUUGUUUGGUACUACCUAUAUCAAUAAGAUGCAUCUUCUUUUUGGUAGCUCAUUCCAUAAGAACUCCACAGUUAAGCGUGUUUGACUUGGAGCAGUCUUUGGAUUGGUGACCUACGAUAAGUGUGCGAGUGAGGACAAAAUGCACUGAAAAGACUUAUGUUGAUUUGUAGGGUAAGUCGGCAAUGUUUAAAAUCGUCUGGGAUGUUACAUACAAUAGAAAUUAUAAUUUUUUUUAGAGGAGACAUUAUAAAUAGAUGUUGUGUAUGGUUGGAUGAGAUAAUAUAUUUUAAUGGAGAAAAAAUGUGUAUACUUUUGUAAU
rnacentral:lncRNA from 1 species